rnacentral:tRNA from 1 species
GGAUUGGUGGUUCAGUGGUAGAAUUCUCACCUUCUGUAUGGGACACCUAGAUUCUAUUCCUGGUCAAUGCA